CGUGCCCUUCUCUGCGGAAUAGCCACUGGAAACGGUGAGUAAUACCGCAUACGCCCUUCGGGGGAAAGAUUUAUCGGAGAAGGAUCGGCCCGCGUUGGAUUAGGUAGUUGGUGGGGUAAUGGCCUACCAAGCCGACGAUCCAUAGCUGGUUUGAGAGGAUGAUCAGCAACACUGGGACUGAGACACGGCCCAGACUCCUACGGGAGGCAGCAGUGGGGAAUCUUAGACAAUGGGCGCAAGCCUGAUCUAGCCAUGCCGCGUGAGUGAUGAAGGCCUUAGGGUCGUAAAGCUCUUUCACCAGGGAUGAUAAUGACAGUACCUGGAAAAGAAACCCCGGCUAACUCCGUGCCAGCAGCCGCGGUAAUACGGAGGGGGUUAGCGUUGUUCGGAAUUACUGGGCGUAAAGCGCGCGUAGGCGGAUUAGUCAGUCAGAGGUGAAAUCCCAGGGCUCAACCCUGGAACUGCCUUUGAUACUGCUAGUCUUGAGUUCGAGAGAGGUGAGUGGAAUUCCGAGUGUAGAGGUGAAAUUC
rnacentral:rRNA from 1 species